GAACGCUGGCGGCAGGCUUAACACAUGCAAGUCGAGCGGAAACGAAGGUAGCUUGCUACCAGACGUCGAGCGGCGGACGGGUGAGUAAUGCUUAGGAAUCUACCGAGUAGUGGGGGAUAGCCAUUGGAAACGAUGAUUAAUACCGCAUAUAUCCUACGGGGGAAAGCAGGGGACCUUCGGGCCUUGCGCUAUUCGAUGAGCCUGAGUGAGAUUAGCUAGUUGGUGGGGUAAAGGCCUACCAAGGCGACGAUCUCUAGCUGAUCUGAGAGGAUGAUCAGCCACACUGGGACUGAGACACGGCCCAGACUCCUACGGGAGGCAGCAGUGGGGAAUAUUGCACAAUGGACGAAAGUCUGAUGCAGCCAUGCCGCGUGUGUGAAGAAGGCCUUCGGGUUGUAAAGCACUUUCAGCGAGGAGGAAAGGUCAGUAAGUAAUAUUUGCUGGCUGUGACGUUACUCGCAGAAGAAGCACCGGCUAAUUUAGUGCCAGCAGCCGCGGUAAUACUAAAGGUGCAAGCGUUAAUCGGAAUUACUGGGCGUAAAGCGCGCGUAGGUGGUUUGUUAAGUUGGAUGUGAAAGCCCAGGGCUCAACCUUGGAACUGCAUUCAAAACUGACUCACUAGAGUACGAGAGAGGUUAGUGGAAUUUCCUGUGUAGCGGUGAAAUGCGUAGAGAUGGGAAGGAACACCAGUGG
rnacentral:rRNA from 1 species